rnacentral:rRNA from 1 species
UACGAAGGGGGCUAGCGUUGCUCGGAAUCACUGGGCGUAAAGGGUGCGUAGGCGGGUUAUUAAGUCAGAGGUGAAAUCCUGGAGCUCAACUCCAGAACUGCCUUGAUACUGAUAGUCUUGAGUAUGGGAGAGGUGAGUGGAACUGCGAGUGUAGAGGUGAAAUUCGUAGAUAUUCGCAAGAACACCAGUGGCGAAGGCGGCUCACUGGCCCGGUACUGACGCUGAGGUGCGAAAGCGUGGGGAGCAAACGGGG